rnacentral:misc_RNA from 1 species
AAGUCGUAACAAGGUUUCCGUAGGUGAACCUGCGGAAGGAUCAUUACUAAUCUUUGCUUUUCUUAUACAGAAGCAAAAAAACAUCCCGUCAACCUGUUGCACUUGUUUUAAUAGUUCUAAUGUGUGUAGUUGUUCUUCGGUGCUUGCUAUCGAAGCACUACACACUACUUAUAUACUACAAACUAUCUCAACAAACAACAACCAUAUACAUACUGAUCAUAUAUAACAAAUAACAAACAAAAUACAACUUUCAACAAUGGAUCUCUUGGCUCUC